rnacentral:rRNA from 1 species
CCCUUAGAUGUCCGGGGCUGCACGCGCGCUACACUGAAGGAAUCAGCGUGCUAAAGCCAUUGUCGAAAGGCAUUGGUAAACCCAUUAAAAUCCUACGUGAUUGGGAUCGGGAAUUGCAAUUAUUUCCCUUGAACGAGGAAUUCCCAGUAAGUGUGGGUCAUAAGCUCGCGUUGAUUACGUCCCUGCCCUUUGUACACACCGCCCGUCGCUGCCCGGGACUGAGCCGUUUCGAGAAAAGCGGGGACUGCUGCUGUCGGGGCUUUCGGGCCUUGGCUUCGGUGGAAACCGCUUUAAUCGCAGUGGCUUGAACCGGGCAAAANUCGUAACA